rnacentral:lncRNA from 1 species
UUACAGUUAGGAGUUGGGGCAGUAGAGUCCCGCACACGCCUUUAAUCCCAGCUCUCAGGAGGCAGAAGCAGGCGGAUCUCUGAGUCUGAGGCUAGUUUGGUCUAUAGAGCAAGUUCCAGGGCAGCCAGGGCUACAUAGAAAAACUAUGCCUUGCAAAACAAAACAAAAACAUUACAUAUAUGAGUUUUAUGAGCAGUGCUACCAUGUGUUUCAUUGUCUAGUCUUUUGUGCCUAUGAGAGGUGAUCACACAAUUUUAACUUCCUGUUUCACUGAACAAUAGGUGAUCCUAAAAUAUGUGUUUAGAGACUUUGUUUUUAUUCAUUUGUUUGUGUGUUUGUUUGUUUUUGGGUUUUUGAGACUAAAGUUUCUCUGUACAGCCUUGGUUGUUCUGUAGACCAGGCUGUCCUUGAACUCACAGAGAUUUGCCUGCCUCUGUCUCCUGAGUAUUGGGUUUAAACUUGACCUAGAGACUUUUUUUUUUUUUAAAGUUUGUCUAUUAAAGACCAGGUGUGUGGCACAUACCUAUAGUUGCAGCACUCAGGAGAGGCAGGAGGAUCAUUACUUUCAGGUUAGCUGCACAGCACAGAAAAACUCUAUGUCAAGAGUGAAUCCUUGUAAGAUGAAAUUCUUCUUGAAGAUGAACUCUGGGUGUUUUUGUUAGUUUUGUAUUUAGCACUGUUUACCGACAUAAAGGGGACAGACCAAGUCUCUGACCUCUAGAAGCUUAUAUUUGUAUGAAGAAGAAUAACCAAUGAGUAAAUAGAACUUAGUAAAAGUCAUUUAAGGUCGUAAUGCUAUGAAGAAAGUAUGAAAGGUGUUGUGCUGGUCAGAAGGAGGGCUGAGAUGCCAGUUUUAGAUUGACAAAGCCAUAGGAAACAUCCCUGGGGGCUAGACUGCUGUUGGAGCUGAGAUGGAAUAAGGGCAAGCCACAGUAAUGACAGGUAGAACAGCACUGAGGGCAACACCAGGUUCUGGAGUCAGACCGCAGCUCUACCACGUCCUCUCUCCAUCAAUACUGACAACAAUGAUGCUACCUCAGAGUGUUGGUGGCAUAAUCCGGAAUAUAGACACACUGAGACCCCAAGUCAGGAAGUGUUUAUCGGCAGAAAAGAGACCCCGGAUCUGUCUCAUAAGUGAAAAAGGGAAAUGGCAGAAGAGCUAAGUGGAGGAGAGGUGAGGAGGCUUUAGCACAAGGACAGUGAGAGGCCGGGGAGCAGUGACACGCUUUGAUUUGUACUCGGAACGUUUCUUUUUGUUGUAGUCCGAGGAAUUGGACUCAGGCCUUGCCUAGAUCCUCCCCGACCCUUGCCCCCCCUUUUUAAAAAUAACAUUAUUGAGAUGACUAGCUCAGUAUGCUACUCAGGUUGGCCUUCAAUUGUGAUUUCCCUGCUUCAGCUUCCUCAGUAGCACUUCCUGAGUGGAAGCAUAUGUAAUGUGUACCUGGCCUGGUUUGUAUUCAAAAACUCGUGGCUAGAGGACAGAGAAUAAAGAUCACAUGGAUGUGUGACUCACUUUGGAGACAGACCUGAGAAGUCUUUUCAGUGACUUGGAAUAGAGAGUGAGAAACAGUUUGAAGAUGGUGAACUUAUCAAGAAUUAACACUUUAAAAUAUUCUUUAUAUCUGUAUUCAUCUGUGUCUACGUGACUGUAUGUGCAUCAUGUAUGUGCAGUGCCCUUAGAAUCCAGAAGUGGGUGUCAGAUCCCCUAGGACGAGUUCCAGGAAGUUUUAAGCCUCCCAACUCCUCUGUAGGAGUAAAAAGUGCUCUUAACCUAAGCCAUCUAUCCAGCCCUGGGAUUAACAUUUUUUAAAAACAGUUAUAUAUCUCAACAGUAAAACCACUGGUUUAGG